rnacentral:rRNA from 1 species
UACAGAGGUCUCAAGCGUUGUUCGGAUUCAUUGGGCGUAAAGGGUGCGUAGGUGGUGGGGUAAGUCGGAUGUGAAAUCCCGGGGCUCAACCCCGGAACUGCAUUCGAUACUGCCUUGCUCGAGUACUGGAGAGGAGACUGGAAUUUACGGUGUAGUAGUGAAAUGCGUAGAUAUCGUAAGGAAGACCAGUGGCGAAGGCGGGUCUCUGGACAGUUCCUGACGCUGAGGCACGAAGGCCAGGGGAGCAAACGGG